rnacentral:rRNA from 1 species
CCCUUAGAUGUCCUGGGCCGCACGCGCGCUACACUGACAUGUUCAACAAGCCUCCUAGUUCGACAGGAUUUGGGAAAUCUUUGAACGCAUGUCGUGAUAGGGAUAGAUCAUUGCAAUUAUUGAUCUUGAACGAGGAAUUCCUAGUAAACGCGAGUCAUCAGCUCGCAUUGAUUACGUCCCUGCCCUUUGUACACACCGCCCGUCGCACCUACCGAUUGAAUGUUUCGGUGAAGAUUCCGGAUAGGACUUUUUUGAUUUAUUUCAAUUCCGUCUUAAAAGCUAUCUAAACCUCAACAUUUAGAGGAAGGUGAAGUCGUAACA